rnacentral:rRNA from 1 species
GACGAACGCUGGCGGCGUGCUUAACACAUGCAAGUCGAACGAUGAACCGGGUGCUUGCACUUGGGGAUUAGUGGCGAACGGGUGAGUAACACGUGAGUAACCUGCCCUGGACUCUGGGAUAACCCCGAGAAAUCGGAGCUAAUACCGGAUAGGACCUUUCCUCGCAUGAGGUUUGGUGGAAAGUUUUUUCGGUUUGGGAUGGACUCGCGGCCUAUCAGCUUGUUGGUGAGGUAAUGGCUCACCAAGGCGUCGACGGGUAGCCGGCCUGAGAGGGUGACCGGCCACACUGGGACUGAGACACGGCCCAGACUCCUACGGGAGGCAGCAGUGGGGAAUAUUGCACAAUGGGCGCAAGCCUGAUGCAGCAACGCCGCGUGCGGGAUGACGGCCUUCGGGUUGUAAACCGCUUUUAGUAGGGAAGAAGCCUUUCGGGGUGACGGUACCUGCAGAAAAAGGACCGGCUAACUACGUGCCAGCCGCCGCGGUAAGAC